GACGAACGCUGGCGGCGUGCCUAAUACAUGCAAGUAGAACGCUGAAGAGAGGAGCUUGCUCUUCUUGGAUGAGUUGCGAACGGGUGAGUAACGCGUAGGUAACCUGCCUUGUAGCGGGGGAUAACUAUUGGAAACGAUAGCUAAUACCGCAUAACAAUGGAUGACACAUGUCAUUUAUUUGAAAGGGGCAAUUGCUCCACUACAAGAUGGACCUGCGUUGUAUUAGCUAGUAGGUGAGGUAAUGGCUCACCUAGGCGACGAUACAUAGCCGACCUGAGAGGGUGUUCGGCCACCCUGGGACUGAGACACGGCCCAGACUCCUACGGGAGGCAGCAGUAGGGAAUCUUCGGCAAUGGGGGCAACCCUGACCGAGCAACGCCGCGUGAGUGAAGAAGGUUUUCGGAUCGUAAAGCUCUGUUGUAAGUCAAGAACGGGUGUGAGAGUGGAAAGUUCACACUGUGACGGUAGCUUACCAGAAAGGGACGGCUAACUACGUG
rnacentral:rRNA from 1 species